GAUGAACGCUGGCGGCGUGCCUAAUACAUGCAAGUCGAGCGAACAGAUGAGGAGCUUGCUCCUCUGACGUUAGCGGCGGACGGGUGAGUAACACGUGGAUAACCUACCUAUAAGACUGGGAUAACUUCGGGAAACCGGAGCUAAUACCGGAUAAUAUAUUGAACCGCAUGGUUCAAUAGUGAAAGACGGUUUUGCUGUCACUUAUAGAUGGAUCCGCGCCGCAUUAGCUAGUUUGUAAGGUAACGGCUUACCAAGGCAACGAUGCGUAGCCGACCUGAGAGGGUGAUCGGCCACACUGGAACUGAGACACGGUCCAGACUCCUACGGGAGGCAGCAGGAGGGAAUCUUCCGCAAUGGGCGAAAGCCUGACGGAGCAACGCCGCGGGAGUGAUGAAGGUCUUCGGAUCGUAAAACUCUGUUAUUAGGGAAGAACAAAUGUGUAAGUAACUAUGCACGUCUUGACGGUACCUAAGCAGAAAGCCACGGCUAACUACGU
rnacentral:rRNA from 1 species